rnacentral:tRNA from 1 species
AUAAAUUAGUAUAUAGUAUAUUUGAUUUCCAAUCAAAAGGAGAAUUUAUA